rnacentral:tRNA from 1 species
GGUCUUAUAGUCAUAGUUUAUGACAUCAAACUGCAAUUUUGAAGGAGUAAAAUUUACUAAGGCUU